rnacentral:rRNA from 1 species
UACAGAGGUCUCAAGCGUUGUUCGGAUUCAUUGGGCGUAAAGCGUGCGCAGGCGGCGCGUUAAGACAGGUGUGAAAGCCCCGAGCUUAACUUGGGAAUUGCGCUUGUGACUGGCGAGCUGGAGUGUGGCAGAGGGAGGUGGAAUUCCACGUGUAGCAGUGAAAUGCGUAGAGAUGUGGAGGAACACCGAUGGCGAAGGCAGCCUCCUGGGCCAGCACUGACGCUCAUGCACGAAAGCGUGGGGAGCAAACAGG